rnacentral:lncRNA from 1 species
UGACAGACACAGGGAAUACUAGAACUUACAAAGGGUUUUAGGAAUUGAAUUAUUUUUCCUCUUAUUUUGCAAUUAGAAACAAAUUAGAUUAUUGAAUUUGCCUUGCCCAGUCUAUUAAAGGUAUUACCUAGUUCUAAUACUAUUUCAAAUUAUAAUAAUGAAUUAAUAUUUAUGUUGUGAUCUUGGUAUAGCUCUACCUCAAAACUUAACAUUGAAAUUUAUUUUAUCCUUGGAAAAAAAUUUUACUUUGGCUUCAAAUGUACUCUUUUUCUUUUUCUUUUUCUUUUUUUCUUUUUCUUUCUUUUUCUUUUCCUUUUCCUUUUCCUUUUUCUUUCUCUUUCUCUUUUUCUUUUUCUUUUUCUUUUUCUUUUUUUUUCUUGGAUAUUUUCUUUAUUUACAUUUUAAAUGUUUUCCCCUUUCCAGGUCUCUCCUUCAGAAACUCCCUAUCCCCAUCCCCUGUAUCCCUGCCUCUAUGCAGGUGCUCCCCCACCCACCAGUUCCAUCCUCCGGCCGGUCCUGGCAUUCCCCUGCACUGGGGUAUCGAACACCCUCAGUCCCGAGGGCCUCUCCUCCCACUGAUGUCGGACAAGGCCAUCUUCUGCCACAUAUGCCAGCACCAUGGGUCACUCCAUGUGCAUUGUUUGGUUGGUGAUCCAGUCCCCGGGAGCUCUGGGAGGUCUGGCCUGUUGAUACUGUUGCUCCCUCCAUGGGGCUGCAAAACCCCUCAGUUUCUUCAGUCCCUUCUCUAUCUCUUCCAUCGGGGAUCCCCAAGCUCAGUCCAAUAUUUGGCUGCGAGCUUCCUCCUCUGUAUUUUUCAGGCUCUGGCAGAGCCUCUCAGGAGACAGCCAUAUCAGGCUUCUAUCAGCAAGCACUUCCCAGCAUCCACAAUAACGUCCAAGUUUGGUGGCUGUAUAUGGGAUGGAUCUCCAGAUUUACUCUUUUUUAAAAUUUGUAAUGCGUAGUGUCAUUGAAGUCAUCCUACAGGGUUCAUCUAAGUUUCUUUUCAGACUCAUCUGUCUGCUCAUGAAAAGCGCUGGACACCAGCAG